rnacentral:rRNA from 1 species
AUUGAACGCUGGCGGCAGGCUUAACACAUGCAAGUCGAGCGGAGAUGAGGUGCUUGCACCUUAUCUUAGCGGCGGACGGGUGAGUAAUGCUUAGGAAUCUGCCUAUUAGUGGGGGACAACAUUCCGAAAGGAAUGCCAAUACCGCAUACGUCCUACGGGAGAAAGCAGGGGAUCUUCGGACCUUGCGCUAAUAGAUGAGCCUAAGUCGGAUUAGCUAGUUGGUGGGGUAAAGGCCUACCAAGGCGACGAUCUGUAGCGGGUCUGAGAGGAUGGUCCGCCACACUGGGACUGAGACACGGCCCAGACUCCUACGGGAGGCAGCAGUGGGGAAUAUUGGACAAUGGGGGAAACCCUGAUCCAGCCAUGCCGCGUGUGUGAAGAAGGCCUUAUGGUUGUAAAGCACUUUAAGCGAGGAGGAGGCUACUGAGACUAAUACUCUUGGAUAGUGGACGUUACUCGCAGAAUAAGCACCGGCUAACUCUGUGCCAGCAGCCGCAGUAACAC